rnacentral:tRNA from 1 species
UGGCUCAAUGGUAGAGCAGUCGACUACCGCUCUGUAGGUUGCAGGUUCGAUUCCUGC